rnacentral:lncRNA from 1 species
UUAAGACUUCAACAUAUCUUUUGGGGGGAUACAAUUCAACCCACAAAAGAUGGCAAAUAGCUUUUCUAUCGAUGCGGCCCUGGUGGGUUCUGAGGAUUGAUGGAUGUUGUCUGCCAUGGACUUUGCAGGAAGAAGUGGCCACACAUGUUGCUGUCUGUGCUCCUGCAACAAAUCCAUCUCCUGGCUAUUAAGGCUGACAUAGCCUCUGUGGCCCAUGGGCUCCAGCAGGUGGAGCAGAGAUGCUGUCACCUUGGUCACUGGUUCCUGGCUCCUAGGGCAAGUCAGUGGUUCCUCCAGGAUCAAAAGCGUGCAAAGGAAGCCCGCAACACAGAGGGCAUGUGAGCCAGCACUCUCCCCUUCCCGCUGGGUAGUAACUCGGGCUCCGGUCUCCUUAGCAGCAACAAUCUCCUACGGACUCCAUCUCCUCCUCUCCCGUCUCUACAGACCUCAAGCCCUCUCAGGGCAGCCGCCAGUAGCUUACUGCCAAAUACAUGCUUUUCCAUGUAUUUUCUUACUUGACCUUUCUGUACUUUUUUGCUGAUGGGUGUCAGUCUGAAUGGUUGACCACAUGGGUCUUGGAAUUGGAUGGGUCUGAAUCCCAGCUUUCACAUACCAGCUGUGUGGCUUUGGACAAGUACCUCAAUUUUUCUGAACCUCUGUUUCAUCCUCUGUGAAAUGGGGCUAAUCAGAGUAGCUAUCUAAUAAGGCAACUAAGAUUAAAAUAAGCACGUAACA